UACAGAGGGUGCGAGCGUUAAUCGGAAUUACUGGGCGUAAAGGGCGCGUAGGCGGUUAAUUAAGUUGGAUGUGAAAUCCCCGGGCUUAACCUGGGAACUGCAUACAAAACUGGUUAACUGGAGUGCAGUAGAGGGUAGUGGAAUUUCCGGUGUAGCGGUGAAAUGCGUAGAUAUCGGAAGGAACACCAGUGGCGAAGGCGGCUACCUGGACUGACACUGACGCUGAGGCGCGAAAGCGUGGGGAGCAAACAGG
rnacentral:rRNA from 1 species